ACGGCUUAAGGGCAGCGGCAGGGCAAGCCGUUAAGUCUCUCCCACAGGCACUGCCAGACGCUCUUGGUACAGGUGGAGGAAGGACUGGGACGCAGACUCACUAACCUUCGGCCCGGAGACUGCAAUUUAAGCUUGGAAGAGGAUCUGGACUUGAACCCGGGCCUCCCCAACUAAAUCCUUCUAAAUGAGCUGCACAAAAAGGGAGCCUAUCCAAUCACGAAGCAGAACAGUGUCUGUGAGGAAUCGUCAUGUGCCAACAUGCUUGCACUUCGUGGAAGUUCUGUAGAAGUUCCAACAUGAUGGCACCAACGUUGGGCUAGGCUGCUCCUAAAGGAAGGACAUCCCAUGACAUGUCAAUGUCACCUGGAAACAGAAACCUGCUCUAGGCUCUAUGGGGCUGAGAGCCAGGAUUCAUGCCACCCAGGAAGUUUCAGGAACAGUUGUAGCACAGCAUAGAGCUGAGAAACAUCCCACUGCAAGCUUGCAAACCCAUCGCUUGGGCGUGCCUCAAGUGGCUCUUUGGAUCACAGCCACAGUAUAUACACUUUUCUUUCAGCUCAUUGACCAGGAUACCUUGCGUAACA